rnacentral:lncRNA from 1 species
GAGUAGCUGGGACUGCAGGCGCCCGCCACCAUGCCUGGCUAAUUUUUUGUAUGUUUAGUAGAGACGGGGUUUCACCGUGUUAGCCAGGAUGGUCUCUAUCUCCUGACCUUGUGAUCUGCCUGCCUCGGCCUCCCGAAGUGCCGGGAUUACAAGCGUGAGCCACCAUUCCCGGCCCAAAGAGGAGAAGAAGUAUGAAGUGCUUGCUUGGACCUUUCUACUGUGCUUAUUAUUCUGUCUUCUCCUCAUGGCAAAUUUCUUUUUUAUUUUCAUUUAUUAAAUACAGAAGAAAUAUUUCGCUGAAGACACAGGAAACCCUAUUUUGUAUAAACGAGGGAUUGCAAGAGAUUGUUGGAAGAUCAAAGAUGGGUGAAUUGGAGCUCUUCCUGAGAACAAAAAGGAUUUAUGAAGGAAAAAGCAGCUAAUCAAAGAAGUUCUGAGUUUAAAUUCUGUUUUGUCCACUUACUAGCCAUUUGGCCUUGGGCAAGUCACUUUACUGGACCUCAGUUUCCUUGUAUGUGAAAGGUUUUGGUAAAAAUCAUAUUAGUUAAAGAAUGUAAAGAGUUUUAUAAAUUACAAAGUGAUUAAAAAAAGUAAAAUGUAUUGUUGUUUAGGAACAAUGAAAAAAAAAGAAACCUUGACAUUUUUUCUUCAAGUUCUUGCCUAAAAUGUUUAUUUGUUUGGCCCUUUUUAGAUUUAACAAAUUCUAUGUGUCUAAAUAUCAGUGUAGACCCCUUCUUACCCUACUGGAUUUAUAAGGUACUAAAAGUAGAUAUGCAUCUCUUCUGUCUUGGUUCGCUCUAAAAUGGGAUGUUUGCAAACCUCUUGGUUUUUCUUUUUUAAUAUGGAUGAAGCUUAUAUUAAUUUUUGGCUUGGUAUUAAAUUUUGUUUGGAAUAUUAUUAA